CUAGGGGUGAGGCUGAACGCUCGAUCCGAUCGGGUAGUAGGUAAGCGAUGGGGUGACGCAGGAAGGUAGUCCAGCCCAGGCGAUGGUUGUCCUGGGGUAAGCAUGUAGGGAGCGAGGUAGGUAAAUCCGCCUCGUAUAUAUCCUGAGAUGUGAUGCCGAGCCGAUUGUGGUGAAGUGGAUGAUCCUAUGCUGCCGAGAAAAGCCUCUAGUGAGUGUUGUGGCGGCCCGUACCCUAAACCGACUCAGGUGGUCAGGUAGAGAAUACCAAGGCGAUCGGGUGAACUGUGGUUAAGGAACUCGGCAAAUUGCCCCCGUAACUUCGGGAGAAGGGGGACCUCUGCUGGUGAUGGGCUUUACGUUCUGAGCUGGUGGGGGUCGCAGUGGCCAGGGGGAAGCGACUGUUUACUAAAAACACAGGUCCGUGCGAAGUCGUAAGACGAUGUAUACGGACUGACGCCUGCCCGGUGCCGGAACGUUAAGGGGACCGCUUAGCCAGCUUCGGUUGGCGAAGGUGAGAACUUAAGCGCCGGUAAACGGCGGUGGUAACUAUAACCAUCCUAAGGUAGCGAAAUUCCUUGUCGGGUAAGUUCCGACCUGCACGAAUGGCGUAACGACUUCCCCGCUGUCUCAACCACAGACCCGGCGAAAUUGCACUACGAGUAAAGAUGCUCGUUUCGCGCAGCAGGACGGAAAGACCCCGGGACCUUCACUACAGCUUGACAUUGGCGUUUGGAACGUCUUGUGUAGGAUAGGUGGGAGACUAGGAAGCUGUCACGCUAGUGAUGGUGGAGUCAUUGGUGAAAUACCACUCUGGUCGUUUUGAACGUCUAACUCUGGUCCGUGAUCCGGAUCGGGGACAGUGUCUGGUGGGUAGUUUAACUGGGGCGGUUGCCUCCUAAAGAGUAACGGAGGCGCCCAAAGGUUCCCUCAGCCUGGUUGGCAAUCAGGUGUUGAGUGUAAGUGCACAAGGGAGCUUGACUGUGAGACUGACAGGUCGAGCAGGAGCGAAAGCUGGGACUAGUGAUCCGGCAUCGGCGUGUGGAAGCGGUGUCGCUCAACGGCUAAAAGGUACCCCGGGGAUAACAGGCUGAUCUUCCCCAAGAGUCCAUAUCGACGGGAUGGUUUGGCACCUCGAUGUCGGCUCGUCGCAUCCUGGGGCUGGAGUAGGUCCCAAGGGUUGGGCUGUUCGCCCAUUAAAGCGGUACGCGAGCUGGGUUUAGAACGUCGCGAGACAGUUCGGUCCCUAUCCGCUGCGCGCGCAGGAGACUUGAAGGGGGCUGUCCCUAGUACGAGAGGACCGUACGGC
rnacentral:rRNA from 1 species